AAGACUAGAGUGGUGAUCGCCUCAGAGGUCUGGGAGGGUUAACCGAGUUCAUAUCUUUAAAGAAGGGAGGACAAUGCUGGUCCAAGCAGAAGCUGAGUAAAUGUUAGCCACUGUUACAGGUCAGAGGAGAGCUGGGGGGCCAGGCCGUGGCCUCCUCAGGCCCUAGGCCCUGAAUUGGAGCUGUGUCCAAACCCAAGUGUGAUGAGAGGUGACCAGUUGUCCGGGCUCCCCGUGCUGGGGCGGGAGGAGGUAACCAUGGCAACACCUGUCGGUUAUCAGCCGUUGUUUCUUUGGAGCUCCCAAUUCAUCAGGUAGGUGUUUUUCCUUUUACGGAAAUGAGGUAACUGAGGCUCAGGAGUUAGGGAACUCUGCUGAGAUUAGAACCCAGGACUCCAGAAAGUUCUUAACAUUUUACUUUGCUAGGAGAAACCUACAAGUGGAUCAGAGGAGAGUUGGAAGAAUGAAAGUUAAGGCCUGAGGGAAAAUUGCAUGUUUAGAGGAUCUUAGAGACAAGGAAGAGAGGAGCGUUUGUGGAUGCCCCAUCUUAGGUCUGCAUUGUUCUGAGGAUUUCGUGAAUCAGAAUCUCUGAGAUGGGUGGAGAUGAAACGGGCUUGCCUGGUGUGAAAGAUCCAGGACAUUCAGGUGUGUUCCCCUGGUUACCAGCCUUUGAAUUAGGCCCACACUAGCCAGCCUCACAGGGUCAUGAGAGUCACGUGAGUUGCUUAUGAAACUAUAAAUUCCCUGGCCCCACCAACCUCCAGAGCUGCUGACUCAGCAGGUCCAGUGGAGGGCAUAGAAACGGGUGUGGAUAACAGCUGCUCCAAGUAAUUCAUAUAAAUGUACCCAAAUUAGUUAAUACUUAUCUAUUCAAAAAAUAUUCGUCGAACUCCUUCUAUCAUGCUGAAUGCUGGGAAAACAGAGGAAUCCGAUCCCUCUGGCCUACAGGAGCCCAUGGAGAAUGCAAAUAAUGGCAGGUGCAGUCGAGGGCUGGGGCUUAUUGCUUACAGAGUGCUUUCACAAGCACUGUUCAUUGGAUGCUCACAACAGUCUUGAGAGUUGUGGGUCCUUCUGGCUGUGGCAUGUGGGACGCUGCCUCAGCGCGGCCACUGAGCGGCACCAUGUUCUCGCUGAGGACUCGAACCGGCGAAACCCCGGGCCGCCUGCAGCGGAGCCCAGGAACUUAACCACUCGGCCACAGGGCCGGCGCCAGAGUUAAAUUUUUUAUAAUAUUACUACUAUUGUCUUUUAAUAAAAGUAUAAUUUGCUUAUUUCAACAUUUCAGGCUGUCUUUCUUAGUUGUCUCCUCUUUACUAGGAAUAAUUAAUGUGUUCUGCUUUUAGUACAGCCUUUAGUCCAGGCUAGGAAGCAUAGUGGACAGGCGAUGCUGACCAGGGACCGG
rnacentral:lncRNA from 1 species